GAUGAAGAACGUAUCGAAAUGCGAUAAGUAGUGUGAAUUGCAGAAUUCAGUGAAUCAUCGAAUCUUUGAACGCACAUUGCGCCCUUUGGUAUUCCUUAGGGCAUGCCUGUUCGAGCGUCAUUUAAACCUUCAAGCUCAGCUUGGUGUUGGGUGACUGUCCGCUUCACCGCGGACUCGCCUCAAAAUUAUUGGCGGCCGGUACAUUGGCUCUCGAGCGCAGCAGAAACGCGUAACUCGAGGUCCUCGUGCUGGCUCCCAGAAGCUAUCUUCACAAUUUUGACCUCGGAUCAGGUAGGGAUACCCGCUGAACUUAAGCAUAUCAAUAAGCGGAGGA
rnacentral:misc_RNA from 1 species